GCGUGUAGUAUUUUCAAUUUGUCAAAAUUUAUUUUUAUUUUGUUAGCAAAAUUUGAUAUUUUAGAGUUUAUUUUAAAUGUUAAACGUAAAAAAAAAGAAUUUUUGUAAAGCAAAAUAUCUACUUCUUUCACUAAUAAUUUGAGUUCUGAUGGUCUUAGGAAUUUCUUAAAAUUUUUUAACGUUCAUUUUAUCAUUACAAUUAAUCAAUUGAAUUCUGAAAAAACAUUUAAGCUUACUGGAUCCAGAUUAAAUUUCGAAAAGUUACUAUAAAGUUAAGUGUUUGCUGUAAACGUUUUACUGUGUUUAUUGAAUAUUUACAAUUAAUUUGGUUAAAAAUGCUUGAUUUAACUUUCGCAAUGGAUUUGUUACAAUAGUGGAGAGGUUUUACAUUUAAAUAGUUUGAUUUUAGCAUUUUCUACCAAACUGAAUGUGUGAAUACUCAAUAAUUAUGAUAACUUUGAAAUGUUAACAAAUGCAUGCAGCAUCCUUCUGCAAAGGUGAAUAGCUUCAAUUAACACAUACCUAAUAUUACAUAUUAAUAUUACUAAAUUACAUUAGCAAAUUAGUAUGUACAUAAUGUUAUAAGAAAUAAUAGAAGAAAAACUUGAAGUGAAUAUAUGUACAUAAAUGUAACUAUCUGAGAACAUGAAAAAUAAAUUGAUAAUUACAAUUACGUAAAACAAAUUUUAUUAUUUUAUAUUUUUACUUUCAGAUAUUUAAAUUUUAAA